GUAAGGAAUAUUGGACAAUGGACGCAAGUCUGAUCCAGCCAUGCCGCGUGAAGGAUUAAGGUCCUCUGGAUUGUAAACUUCUUUUAUAAGGGACGAAAAAAGGCUUUUCUAAGUCGUCUGACGGUACCUUAUGAAUAAGCACCGGCUAACUCCGUGCCAGCAGCCGCGGUAAUACGGAGGGUGCAAGCGUUAUCCGGAUUCACUGGGUUUAAAGGGUGCGUAGGCGGGCAGGUAAGUCAGUGGUGAAAUCCUAGAGCUUAACUCUAGAACUGCCAUUGAUACUAUCGGUCUUGAAUAUUGUGGAGGUAAGCGGAAUAUGUCAUGUAGCGGUGAAAUGCUUAGAUAUGACAUAGAACACCUAUUGCGAAGGCAGCUUACUACGCAUAUAUUGACGCUGAGGCACGAAAGCGUGGGGAUCAAACAGGAUUAGAAACCCUAGUAGUCC
rnacentral:rRNA from 1 species